CAGCCGCCGCGGGAAUACGUAGGUCCCGAGCGUUGUCCGGAUUUAUUGGGCGUAAAGCGAGCGCAGGCGGUUAGAUAAGUCUGAAGUUAAAGGCUGUGGCUUAACCAUAGUACGCUUUGGAAUCUGUUUAACUUGAGUGCAAGAGGGGAGAGUGGAAUUCCAUGUGUAGCGGUGAGAUGCGUAGAUAUAUGGAGGAACACCGGUGGCGAAAGCGGCUCUCUGGCUUGUAACUGACGCUGAGGCUCGAAAGCGUGGGGAGCAAACAGGAUUAGAUACCCCAGUAGUCCCUGUCUCUUAUACC
rnacentral:rRNA from 1 species